UAUUGGAAAUGAAAAAUCACAGCCUGGUUGGUAGUCCAGGCGCGUAGAUCUCUCUACGCUAGUAGCCUUCCCCCCUCGGGAUGUCCAUUAUUUCCUUUUAUUUA
rnacentral:ncRNA from 1 species